GCUACUUCCUGAAACCGCCGUCGACGAGUACGGGAGCUCACCUGGGUCAAAAUGUGUGCGUUCGACUGUGGGAAGUCGCAGGAAAACGAGAGAAGUCGAUGGGAAAUGUUUGAGCCACUUAUGAAAAACGGCAGAAGAAGCGGCUCCGCGGCACUCAACUGCUUCCAGAUGUGGAAUGCCAGAGAUAAUCUGUCUUUCUGGAUCUCAAUGAGAGCGAGGGUGUCUUGCAGAAGCCUCGUGGUCCCAGAUCCGGCUCCCAGAUUGUAGACCUACAUGUGUGCAUGCUCUCGUUCUCCGGCUGGUUCACCUCAGCAGAAGUUCAUAUUUUUCGAGCUUCGGUGCGGAGACUGCCACUCUGGUGCGACUUGUCGGGAGCAUCUGACAAAGUGGAGCCACAGUCGUGGGUGUCAAAGGCCUGUGAUGUCUGAGGCAGCAGAAGAAGAAAGCUCUGAGAGAAAUUGUUUGGCCUGUGACAGUGACACACUCUUCCACACAUACACUGUUUGAGAGUCAAGUGACAGCGCUCUUUCUGAUGAAAUUCAUGGUAAUGAGAAUGUCAAUAGCACUCUUCUUUCUUUCACUGCUGCAAAAAGCUUGCUGCCUUAGUCACAUCGGUCUGUAGCCAUAAAGCCGGAGAAAGCUCUUAGUAAUAAUGAUAAGUGAUAUAGCAGGCAGAGGAGUCUGUUGUGAUUUAGAAGCACUGACCCUCCCUUCUAAAGUAUCAUUCAGCAAUAUGUCGAAUCCCUGCCAGCUCAAGUAAAUGUUGUUUUCCACCCGACAAUAAAGUAUCACAGAUAAUAUUAUUAUAUAAUUUUUGGAAGGGAUUAUGUUUAACAUCAACCAAUUAAAACCAGUGUUCCACAGCACAAGUCAGAACAUGUUGCCUGUUACUUAACCCCUUUCAAAAGAUACAUUUAACAAGAAGUCCCUUUUAAUAGACGACUCUCUUGCCAAAUAACCCUUUGAAUUCAUUUGAAAUACUUCCAGUACAUGCAUAACAAAGAUGGCCAUAUGUUGUGUUCAUUAGUAAGAGAUUUAAGUUGCAUAUUUAGCCACACUUGACGAAAAUAAGACAUUUUGGAACAGAUGCAGGCUGACAGUGAGGUGGAGUACAGGGGUGGCUUCAGUAGAUUCUGAGGCCAUUAAUCAAAGAUGAUGACUCUUCUCUUUUAAGAAAUGAAACAGAAACUUUUCCACAGUCAACUUG